rnacentral:rRNA from 1 species
CAGGUAUAUGAAACUGAUAGUGAUCCAAAGACAAGUAAUGAGGCUCUAUGUUUGGCAAAAAAUGAACUUGGAGAGUGUGAAUUUAUCAUGGCAAUAGUCAUUUGGUAUGGGGUAUUGUUUGCUGUUAAUUUAGUAAGCAAAAACUUGCAAACAAAGGAUAUGCUUAUUGAUGUUGCUAUUGAGAAAGUAAAAGGGCUUAUUUCUUUCUUCAAGGGGUACAUGACUGGUUUCUUAGAAGCAUUGGAGAUAGCCAAAGAAAUUGCACUUGAGAUGGAUACUGGUGCAACAUUUCGUAAAAGGAGAGAAAUUAAAAGAAAGAAACAGUUUGAUGAGAACCCAGACGACACAAAUAUUGCCACACGGUCUGAAGAGGAAUCAUUUAGAAUCAACUAUUUUAUAUCUGUUGUUGAUCAAGCAAUUUCCCCACUCACAAGGAGAUUUGGACAAUGUCAGGGUUACCAGAAAUUUGGUUUCUUAUUUACCUCUGAAACAUUGCACUCAUUGGAUAAGGAUAGUUUGAAAUCUUCAUGUGUUAAUCUUGAGGCUGCCCUUAAGAAGGAUAAAAAACCUGAUAUUGAUGCCAACGAUCGAUUUGUUGAGUUGAAGUUUCUUCAAAAUUUCAUGCCAAAAGAAAAUAUCAGACUUGUUGAAAUUCUAAAAAAUUUAAAUCGGCAUGAUUGUUUUCCCUAUCACUGCUGCAGGAUGCUGCUAACGCGACACUACGAUCAGAGACCCUUCGACGAAACUGUGUGCGAUGCAAUAAUCGCAAACGGUGGUGUAAAAAAACCAUAA